GGGUUAUAAGAACAGUUCUCAAACUCCUAAACUUCUUUUAGUCAGCAAGUGGUCAGCACCCACCAAGGAGAGCUGGGAAUUGAGGAGGACACUCAUAAAACAGGGAGCUUUUGUCUUGGAUUUAAAGAAGCAGGGUCCAGAAAAGGGGCCAGAAGGAACUGCUGAAGGUGAUGGUGGUGCCUCCUGGGAAGCAGAAGUGUUCCUCCUUCCUGAGGAGCUAAUGGUGAGUGGCCCACCUGACCUGUCUUGGUUAUGGGUGGAGACGGUGGUGCUUUCUAGUUCCCCAGUCUAAGAAAAAGCACUUGUAGCUCUAGAGCACUGACUUUAAGGGAGGGGAUCUAGAGCAGUAUGUUCUCUUGAAUACUAGCCUAAUUAAAAAACAAUUAAUAAAAUAACAAUCAACUUAAACGCUCAGCAAAAAUCUUUAAGAUGAGACCACUGCUCUGGGCUGUGGGGGGGGGGGGCUCUCAGCAACUAGGUAAGGCCAGCAGGGCCCAAUAGUCAUGUGACCUGCACAGUCACAGAGGCCACCAAGGUGACUGAACCACAGCCUGUCUCCCUUUACUCUAGGAGGGCCAGGAUGGGAGAUUUUUUCCAGACAUUCAUGUCCUCUUCCCCUUUGUCCCUCCCAUUGCUCCUGGGUAUCUGUUGAAGGAAAGCACAGAAUCCAAUAUAGAAACUGAUGAGACUUUUGAACCUUUUCACUCCCUGGGAAUGAUAAACAUUCUUGAAGUCAGGAGACAAAACCAUGAGAAUGUGGUGGUCCGGAGGAGCUCAUAGCAACAUCGAGAAAAUGAAUGGAGUUUUUAAGGAGGAGUGUAGAAGGCAUUUAAGAAGUUUAAGAAGGAGCUGCCAGCAGGAGAGCCUCCCACCCAUGCCUGUGCCC